CAUUUUCUAAUAAUUAUCACUCACGAAUUCGAAUUCUACAACAAAAUCCAUCUAUCAAUUUUUUAAAAUACAAAUUUAUAUUGCCUUUGAAUAGAUCAACAAAUCGACAAUACGUGAAGAACAUACACAAUGGCCGAAAAAAAGUUAAACUGGAGAGUAUAUAGUAGGUCUAUAUAUAUUCCAGUAUCCAAUUUGAAAAUGUAUUCGAAAUUACCAAGAGUAUUCACAAAGAAAAUAACUAAGAUGAUGAUGUAGGAACUCGAGAAAGUCAGAACCCAAAACCACCAAUCGCUGACGCCAAGGUCGAAUAUGGUCCAUAUAUUUUCCAGUAUCCAAUUUGAAAAUGUAUUCGAAAUUACCAAGAGUAUGCACAAAAAAAAUAACUAAGAUGAUGAUGUAGGAACUCGAGUAUGUCAGGGUUCUCUCCACAAAUCGACAAACUUAGUCAAGACAACCGAAUGAUGGGUGGAACAUACUUUGAAGUUCCAAUGAAUUAUUAUGUGGACUCGGUCCUCAAAGUGGAAGCAUGAUACGAAUAAAAAAGGUUUGCCAUUGCAUCAUGGAAAGACAUAUGAUCCAACAACGAGUCGAAAUUAUUAAAAUUUAGUAUCGAAAUUCGGAGUCAGUGGCCUUCUACGUAGCGAUGAGGCGCAUUUCUGGCUGAAUGGCUUCGUCAAUAAGCAAAAUAUGAGUUAGUGGUCAGACAGCAAUCCACACAUACUCCAUGAGUCACCACUGCAUUCCGAAAAAAAUAUAGUUGGUGCGGUUUAUGGGCCCGCGGCGUCAUUGGGCGCCCUUCUUCCGUGAUAAUCAAGCUCGAAUUGGAUAAUAUGGACUUGAACAAUGUGUGGUUCCAACAGGACAACGCCACAAGCCACAUAGCGCAUGUCACAAUCGAUUUAUUGAAAACUAAGUUUGGUGAAUGUGCUAUCUCACGAAAUGACCUAGUCAACUGGCCGCCUCGGUCGUGCGAUUUGACAUCGUUAGGCUAUUUCCUAUGGGGUUACGUCAAGUCUAUGGUCUAUGCCAACAAGCCAAACUUUAGGUAUCUUAUUAAAAAACACUUGACAUAUGUAUGUAUUUAUGAAUGAACAUUAUUUAUUUGUAGAUUGCAAGAAUUUGUUACUUCAGCAAACUCUACUUUUUUUACUGUUAACUAAAUUGCAUAUAAAAUAUAUAUUGGAUAUCGGAUUGUACGUUGAUAUGAUAUGUUUUUGGUUGUAUGAAAUUGUGCGGGAUGACUUAUGGAACUCCUCCAUCUAUGUUUUCUGCAGCAACAUGUAUCUAUAGAGACCACUUCUUUACCGGCAUUUUACUCAAUUACAAGCA